AACAAACGCUGGCGGCGUGCCUAAUACAUGCAAGUCGAACGGGGAAAGCUUUCGGGUGAGUACUAGUGGCUCACGGGUGAGUAUCGCGUGGAUAAUCUGCCGUAGAGUGGGGGAUAACGAGUCGAAAGAUUAGCUAAUACCGCAUAAGACCACAAGAACUGCGGUUCAAGAGGGCAAAGGAUUUUCGCUCUAAGAUGAGUCCGCGUAAGAUUAGCUAGUUGGUGAGGUAACGGCUCACCAAGGCCACGAUCUUUAACUGGUCUGAGAGGAUGAUAAGUCACACUGGAACUGAGAGACGGUCAAGACACCUACGGGAGGCAGCAGUAGGGAAUAUUGCACAAUGGAGGAAACUCUGAUGCAGCGACGCCGCGUGAGUGAUGAAGGCCUUCGGGUCGUAAAGCUCUGUCGCAGGGGAAUAACACAAUGAAUGUACCCUGUAAGAAGGGAUCGGCUAACUUCGUGCCAGCAGCCGCGGUAACAC
rnacentral:rRNA from 1 species